rnacentral:rRNA from 1 species
GACCGAGCAACGCCGCGUGAGUGAAGAAGGUUUUCGGAUCGUAAAGCUCUGUUGUAAGUCAAGAACGUGUGUGAGAGUGGAAAGUUCACACAGUGACGGUAGCUUACCAGAAAGGGACGGCUAACUACGUGCCAGCAGCCGCGGUAAUACGUAGGUCCCGAGCGUUGUCCGGAUUUAUUGGGCGUAAAGGGAGCGCAGGCGGUCAGGAAAGUCUGGAGUAAAAGGCUAUGGCUCAACCAUAGUGUGCUCUGGAAACUGUCUGACUUGAGUGCAGAAGGGGAGAGUGGAAUUCCAUGUGUAGCGGUGAAAUGCGUAGAUAUAUGGAGGAACACCAGUGGCGAAAGCGGCUCUCUGGUCUGUCACUGACGCUGAGGCUCGAAAGCGUGGGUAGCGAACAGGAUUAGAUACCCUGGUAGUCCACGCCGUAAACGAUGAGUGCUAGGUGUUAGGCCCCUUUUCGGGGGCUUAAGUGCCGGAGCUAACCGCCAAUAAGCACUCCGCCUGGGGAGUACGACCGCAAGGUUGAAACUCAAAGGAAUUGACGGGGGCCCUCACAAGCGGUGGA